CAGUUGGUGAGUGGACGGUCAUGCCCAUCAGUUGCCUGCAGUUCUAUGGAGUGGACCACUGUCUGGUGAGAGAAAAGUAGACCCAUGGAUCACUUCUGACCAGCAACUGUGGUGAUCAAGAGACUAGAUCAAAUAUAAUUCAUCUUACCCAGAAAAAAAAAAUCCUGGCUCAGUUAGAAGGACCAGAAGUGGAUACCAAAGGCAAGCCAUUUAUAGCUGGUUGCUGACAAUUAAAAUGAAAGAAUUUUGAAAGAAGGAGGUACAUUCACCUAUAAUCCUGCCACCUAAAUACCAGCCUCGUCAUUCUGGCGUGAUGUCCCCAGACCCCCUCCACCAACGUGCACAUCUGUAGCUGGCUGCCACCCCAGGAAUACAUCUUUACGUUUGGCUUAAAAGAAGGAAGAUCUACUUCUGCCCAGUUAAAGGGAAUAAAACUGAGACAUACCUCUCCUGUUGCCAGAGCGAUAAAAUUUUCCACAGUCUUGGGCACAACUUUUCCAAAGAGGCCAAUCACAAUUCUGCCAACAUCUUUAUCUCCAAUCCUCACAUCAAAGAAGACCUGCGUGUGGUUGAAAGGCAGAGCAGAAGGUUAUAAUGUGAAAAAGCCACAAUACAAGAGGAAAUAGAAAUGGAACAGAGGAGGAGCCUCAGACAUUAGGUAACUUGUUGUUACCCCAGCUGAAGCCUCUUGGCCACUCCAAGAGCUGCGGGAGGUGCCAGCAGAGUGUGACACGAGUGCAGCUGGAAAGAUGGCAGCAGUAUUUUCUACAGUCUCGGUGUCUGACCCUGCACAGAGCCCAUGGCAUCUGCUGGAAAGUGCAGGGCUGCAAACACUAAUGCGGUGGAUUUUGAGACCAGUGAGCUGGAGCCCAAACCUGAGGCUCCACGGAUGGGCAGGAGGCUGAGGUGUCCAGCUGGCCGCAGGAUUCAUGGACAAGGUGAGUGCCAUUAAAGGGCCCUGGGGGGAAUAGCACUUCACACCUCUCAUUUACAGAUUCCUGUUUUUAAACAAAAUCAGAGGAAAAGGUAAAGACUGCUGGGGAAAACAAUAAACUAGAGUGAUGGCCAAUUAAUCUACUUUUCCACACUCAGAGAAAUCAUUUUUUAAUGUUUCCACUUUCCAAUAGAUUAGUUGUUUUAAAAUGUCCACUGAAAAAGUAAUUCAACAGAGUUGAAACUGUGGAAGGACAUGCCUACACAGUUUUUAGAACGUAAUGACAAAUGGGGUGGGAAAAAAGGAGAUAGAUUGAGUGACUGUUCCAAAAGUAGAGUCCUGAAAACUCCCUCAGUGACAGCACCCUGGACUUGGGGCUAAGAUGCCCCAACUCUUCCCCUCUUGCAGCCACCAGCUUCCUCCCCUCUCCUCGAGGUUCCCAACCGCAGCUCCACACUCCCAGAGACUGUGAUUACUGAUUACUUGCUCUGGGGUAGUCUCUGCACUGGUAGGUCUAAAAGCUUCCCAGGUAAGCCUGUUCCCAAAUACUAUAGGUGAUGUUCUCACAGUAACAAAUUAUUCGUUGCAUAUCUGAAAUUCACAUCUCACUGGGCAUCCUGUAUUUCAUCUGACAGUCCUACUCCCUUUCUCCCACCCUUAUCUAAACAGUCAGCAAGUCCUGUUAGUUACACUUCAAAAGUCGAUUUCUAGUCCCUCCCUGGCUCCCCAUUUCCACCAUUACCCCCCCUAAUCCAAGCCACCACCAUCCAGAUUCUGACCUGGAGCCCUGAAGACCUCCCAGUUCACUCUCCACUGAACAACCACAGUAAUUGUUUAAAAGCAUAUAUGAGAUCAUGUCAGUCCCAUGCUUAAAACCAUUCAGCAGCUAUAACUGCACUUAGAAUAAGACCUCAAAUUAUGAGAAUAAUUGCCUUAAAACCCAUACUCCAAACUGUGGCCCGGAAGGCACUACCUGAUCUUGCUGCUGCUCACCCAGAACCUCAUCUCAAGCCACUACCCCUCUCAUCCCUGGGCUGAAGCCACACCAUCCCUUCUCCAUCCUCUGAACAUACUUUUCUGUCUGGAGGCCUUGCAUAUGCAGUUCCCUUUGCCUCCUAAGUCUUUGCCAGGCUUUUUUUUUUUUUCUUACCCUUUAGGUAUUUUUAAAUGUCACCCAAUCUAUUUCCGGGUUUAUUUCCUUCAUCAUUUCAACUUCAUCAAUUUUAUGUUUAAGGCUUAUUCCAUGAGACCCAAAUAGUAUCUGCAGAUUGAAAGAACACCCCCCCACUUCCCCCCCUUCAGCUAUGUGGCUUUGUAUAAGCCGUUUCCCAAAGCUAGAUAAGCCCCAAAGAUCAAGGGGCUGGGAGGAGAAUCAGUGCUCAAAGCCAGCAAGCUCAUUUUAUCACCGCACAUACUCCGCAGCACGGCCUUUCUGUUCCCUCUUAGGCUACGUCAGAUGUUGGGCUGAACCUCCCCCGCCCCUUGUCCUCCCCCCUCCUCGGGUGGGGUGUGUGGUAGAGGAUUUAAGCAUCCAACAGUAUCAUUUCUACUGGCAGACACCGGACCGAUUGUUAAGACCACCUGCAGCUGCCCCCUCCUUCCAGAUUCCAAGACACCCCUGCCACUGGGUUUUCUAGAAGUGGUCAUCAAGGGCCCCAAAUCAUCCCCUCCCUCCCUCCCUCUAUCUCUCCCUGCACCCUCCCAUUAUCCUCUAACGUUGGCUAAAUAUGGUGGGGAAAGACCUGAAGCUGUAAAGACCCAGUCUAUGGCAGAUGUCCCCCCACCCCACCCCCCAAUCGUGAUCAAAAGGGUGGCCUCAGUUAUACUGGAGCCGCCUGUGCCUUGCUAGCACCGUCCCCAAGCCCUGGGGUCCACCCACCAGCCGCCAGAGUCUGAAAAGCGCACCUCUCCCUCCCCGGGGAGGACGGUCGUUCCUAAAUACAGGAAAAGGAGGAUAGCCCUUGGUUUCAGCAAGGCCACGUAAUGCCUGCCCCGACCCCACCGCGACAGGGGCUGGACCUGGGAUCUGCCAGGUCAGGUGACACCCGCGGCGGGCGGCCCAGCUGCAACCCCUCCGCUCGCAACGCGUCUCCUCCGCCAGUCCCCGUCCCUCCCGCAUUCUUCCUGCUUCUAUUCCCUAGUCCCCGCCAAGGCGAAGGAAGUACUCGGCGGUCUCCUUCCUGAAGAAAGGGCCCGCCGGUUCCGGAAGCUUCUCCCAACUCCCAGGCAAAGUUCAGACAGCCGGCGGCGGGGGCCCAGCGCCCCCACAGUCUCCCGGGAGAGCGCGGGCCCCCGCGCGCGGGCAGCCUCCUGCCACCUAGCCCCCCGGCCGCCUCCCGUCCUCUGCGCCCGGGAAGCUCCCUCCUCGCCGCCCCUGACCCUGAGGUUCCAGUCCCCAAAGCUCUCCCAUCCCCUCGGCCAGCACGAGGGGAAACUGCUGCCCGCCGCCCAGUCACCUUGG